GAGCGGGGCCGCUCCUCCGGUGUGUGUCCGGCCGAAGUCACCAGCUGGGACAGCCGUCAGGAAAAUAAGAAGGGUGCCCUUCGAACUGGCACCGGUGGUGCGAAGGCGCUUGGCUGGCGGAAGAGGAGGGGCAAAGCCCGGGUCCUGGACGUGCCGGGGGCGUCGGAGGUGCCCACCUGUUUGUGGUGUUCAUUUAACUGCAGGGGACAGCGCGCCCUGGGUGCCCGGGCCCUCGGAGCGCGUCCCCGCCGCACAGGCUUCUAGGGGCGGGGUGCUGGGAGCCCCCCCGGCGUCCGGGUCUGGUCGGAGGAAGACCGGUCCCCGCGUGUAAUACGUGAAAAUGACUUCUAGUGCAAUGUUGAAUAGGAAUAGCCAGCAUGGACACCCUUGUCUUAUUCCUGAUCUUGGAAGGCUUUGAACACCUCACCAUUGGGUCAUUUUUCCUCACUGGAAGCUUCUGUGACCUUCUCUCAGCCAUUGGUGCCUUGCGGAUUCAUCACGGAGUGCCUAGGUUCCAAGAUAGAUUCAAGCUAAGGGUAACUUCACUGCAGAGUUGCUUAAAUGCACAGGUUGCAUGUUGAAGUAGACUCUGAAAUCCACCUGACGUUGAAAUUGCCUGGAGUAGUUUCAGAAAUAAAUUGACUUAGUUUGACACCAAAGAAAAUGGAAACAACAUGAUAAUUGAAACAACAGCACUAUAAUGAUAAGAUACAAUAAAUAGAUGAAUUUAAUGAUUGCUGAGUCCAAGCUGGAAUUCAUAGUGAUACCAAUGUGUCCCGACAUGUGACUCUCUCAGAAGCACACAGGAGCCCAAGAAAAUGGGCACGGUCCACAUGGAAGGGCGGGUGUGAGGACUGGCAGAGCUGACUGGCGGGGGGGGCCCUCGAUCUCCCACCUGACAGCGUGAUUUCAGAGAGCACAAUCAGCUGAUAGGAAAUAAGGAAUGAUGUUCAAACACUCAAAUAAGAAAGCAAGUGAUGUGUGAAUGUCUUGAAUAAUAAGGAAGAAUGAGGACAUAGGACAUGAUCAGUGGCCAUGAUGGAGUGGGAAAAGGAAGUUUGCCAUCAGGGGUGGGGCUCUAAAAAACACCGGAAGGCUGAACAGCUGUGAAUGAUGACAAGUUCCGCCGUGGGGUCAUGGAAGAGAUUGCUUUGGUUUAUCUACCUUGCGUCUGUCGUCUACCUUCCUCACCGUCGGCUGGCUGCUUACUACACGCCAGACACCAUGUCACCCUCUUCAAGGACACAUGGAAGACAAGCUCUUUCACUUCUGCGUCUGCCAAAGUAAUGAGCAGAGAAACGGGGUGGUGGGGUACGAGGGUUUCAUCCACCAGAAAGUUAAAAUGGUGUUGAAAAGACAAUGCAGAUUUUAGGUUCUUUAUGCCAAAGACUACUUAUUAUAGAGAGACAGUGUCCACUUUCCAAAACUGUAUGAAUAGAUUCAGUCCUGAAAUGUUAAAAAAAGAAUAGGCAAAACAUCAAAAUUUCGGGUAAAAUUUUCAUAUAAUCCUAAUAGGGACAAUACUUGUUUAAAUUCAAUUGUGAAGCAUUCUGAAAUUUUGAAGUUUUCCCGAAUGAUACUUAUUUAUCCCCUUUCUAUAAAAUGCUUGUCUAUGUUAUCACUUGCUCCUUAGAAUCCAAUUUGUGGUAGAUAAGGAUGGUUAUUCCUUUCUAUACACAAGGAAGCUGAGGCCCUAGGGGGUGAAGUAACUCUCUUGCUCAAGUUUCAUGGAAAGAAAUAGCGGAGCUGUUCUCCAGACACCUCUGAUCUGCAGAGCGAGCUUGGUCCAUGCGAUCUGCACCCACACCAGCUCCAUCUCUGUGCCCCUUGGCGUCUUAGAUCAUAUUUUGUCCUUGACUCACCUGCACCAAGGGUUGAGGCAGAAAUACCUAUUUCGACUUCAAUUCCCAUUUCCUACUCGAGGAGGCUCACUCCUCUCAUAGGGCACAUUGAUCAUGGACCCACAACGUUCUUCUUCCUUUAUUGCUUAGUGCCUCACGGUGCUGGAGAGCUGUGUUAGGUCAUAGAUGGAAGCACUGCAUUGUGUGCAUCCUCACCAGCGGCCACUUCCUGGGAAAGGUGACAGGCCUCCCAGGAAGGGGCAACUGCAUCUAUCCCUCUGACACAGCCGCAUAGACUCUUUCCAAAAUCGGCAGUCAUCCUUCCCAGUUAGUGAAACCAAAUGGAGAUUAGGUUGUUCAACGGCACUCAACAAAUCUCCUGAAUUUCUGUUUCCAGAAAACGUCCCGGAGCAGUGUGCAGUAGGCACGCGACAUGAACAAUCAUUCCCAAAGUACAAUCGGUGUGCGUACAUCCCCUGACACAGAGGACUGCCAAUCCCGUGGAACUCCAUAGGAAUGUUGCCCCGUGGCAGGCUCACCAACCUUCAGCCUUGGCUGACGCCUUCGACUUGCUCUUCGGGGAAACAAGAGAGGCUGUUUUUGUUCUGGGCUGGAGCAGGGUCUGAUCAUUUUCUCUCCUGAGUCGCUAAAACACGGAUAAGGUUUCUUAAUUCUGUCUCAUAUUGGGGGGCAUCUGUUCACUUCUUCCCUAAAAAUAAGAGGCUUUAUGUAAACUGAACCUUUCUGACAGCGAAUUAACCUCACACAACACCAGCCUCACCUGCCCCGGGUGGGAUGGGGCAGAGGCACCCCGAGCUCCAUCUUUUUACACACACUCAGCUCACAACAACGUUCUGCGGUCCACAGUGUGUGACAGGGGAUCUGUGAAGCUGGCACACUUCUAGCACAUUUUCUCCCAUAGAAUCCUCAUAGCUGCUGACAGUAACUUUUACCUUUCUAGGUCUCAAAUGGUAAAAUUAGAAAGUUGAACUAAUGGCUGUCUGAGGUCCCCACGC